GCGGGGAAGGAAGUCGGCCGAGGGGCGGGGGACAAAAGGCCGGGCGGCGGGCUGGGGGUCUCGGGGAGGGGGCGGGCGUGUGCGGCCGGGGCCGGGCUCCGCGGAGGACAAACAGCUGGCGAGUGUCAGGGUCUGGCCGCCUCCCCGCUGCCCGCACGCACCUACCCGCGCCCAGGAGGCACAUUUUCCUUCUCUCGCCACGAGUUCACCUGGGACUUUGGAAAUAAACUGUGCGGUGGGAGCCGCGCUCCAGCCGUGUCAUUUGCUGGGGGUGGGCGGCGGUGCCCGAGGAAGUGAACUUAUUUUGUUCCUUCACAAAGACUGGACCAGGCGGUGCCUUUCACGCGAGGAGAUUGCAACCACGGACACCUCCUUGUCUGGUGCAUUGUGUGCGCGAGGCAGCACCUCAGGCCCAGGGCAAUAAUCAUUUCACAGAAAAUGCACCGCCCCGAGUGUCUUAUUGCUGUGAUGAAAUGGAAAUUUAAAUAAAAGGUCGAACACGUGCGUUCAGUGGGAAGUAUUGACAUGGGUGUUACAUCACCGGCAGCCAAUCAGAUAACCCCAGUCGUGUUUAUACUUCUACAACCACCUUGUAAAAAAGAUAUUCUCAAGCAAUGGAGGAGCUUUUUACUCUUCUAAGAAAUGUCUUAAAGGACUACAUCUAGUCACAGUGGAGCAUGAUGGAGGAUAAUGUGAGAAGAAGAAUGUAUAUAAGUAUGUGUGACUGGGUUACUUUGCUGUACAGUAGAAAAUUGACAGAACACUGUAAACCAGCUAUAAUGGAAAAAAUAAAAAUAACUUAAAAGACAAAGUAUUGAGAGUUUAAUCACAAACUAAUAUAAAAUAUGUUCAAGAUAAUUAUCAAGAGUGGAAAAAUGAUAUAUGUUACUAUCAGAGGUAUGUAUUAUGUGCAUAGGAAAAAAUGAGAAAUACAAACUACAAUUGUAGAUUAUCUAGUGUUAGAGGCUUUAAUUUUCUAUCAUAUAUUAAUGGGAAGUUAUAUAUGUUUAAUAAAAAGCAUGUGUUACGAUUUUUAGGCUUUCUAAUUUUAUGAUUGUACUCUUCAGAAAUUCCUAUUUUUAAAAUAGACAGUAUUUAAAGCUCUAAAUAUAUCAUGUGGAGUAUGGAAUGAGAUAUGUUUUUCAAAAUUAACUUAAAGAAAGGAUUUUCCCAGACAUAUUAUAAAAUAUCAUUUGUCUUCAUAUUUUUAAAUGGACCAAACAUAUGCAUGCAACGUCCAGGCAUAUAUAUUAUUGAGUGUAUAGAUUUGUUCAAAGCAGUUUUCGCUUAAUUCACUGUAAUGUUAGUAUCUGUAGAAAUGAGCAGUGUUGUAUAUCAAACAAAAAAUACUUCUUCUACCUUAGAGAUGAAAUGUAAUUUUAAUGUAAAGAAUGAUGGUACUAACCUGCCACAAAAAGAUUUUGACUUGGAGGUUUUUUUAAAAAAAUAAUGAUCACAUUGCCAUCUGGCCACCAGUGAUCAACAGCUUGAAAUUUCAAUAAGAAUUUUGUGAAAAGAAAAAAAAAAAAGCUUGAAAUUCCGAUAUAGGUCCUCAGAUUUGGUACAGUUUGUGGAUUUUAAACAGUUUUGUCCUGCUUUGUUUUAGUUGUUGGAAAGUUUAGGACAGUAGAAUCUAUGACGUUGAACUAAUUUGUACCUUGGAGAAAUGAGAGGAUUCUGCUUGCUUGACUGUAUGUAUCAUGUGCUUCUAUGUAAUAUAUGGAAGAAUGUUAUAACAAUACUGUGCCUUGUUCUUAAUUCAUUUUUUAAAAAUUCCAAGCACUUUGCAAGUAAAUAUAUUAUGUAUUCAAUUU